rnacentral:rRNA from 1 species
AUGAAAAUCUUAAGCUGGAACUGUCGAGGGUUGGGUCAACCUCGUACAGUUCAAGAGCUUGUGUGUCUCUCUAAAACGCAUCAACCCAAUGUUAUCUUUCUUUCCGAGACAAGGAAAAAUAAAGAUUAUGUUGAAUAUUUGCGUUUCCGUUUGGGUAUGAAAAAUGUGUUUACCGUUUCAGUUGAAGGCAAAGGUGGUGGGCUGGCCGUGUUCUGGGAUGAUAUGUACACUCUGGAAUUGAACAAGUAUGGUGAGCACUUCAUUGAUAUGUAUAUUUGCUCUGCUAAUGGCACAAAGUGGAGAAGUACAUUUAUUUAUGGGGAGCCUAAGGCAAGUCAAAGGUAUGUCAUGUGGGAUCUUUUGCGAAGAAUUAAACCCCUCGGUGUUGGGUCGUGGUUUAUGGUUGGGGAUUUUAAUGAAGCGAUGUGGCAGAAUGAGCAUUUUUCUGGUCAUAAGAGGUCCGCAUCGCUGAUGGCCAACUUCAGGCAGGUUCUUUCUGACUGUAAUCUUUUUGAUUUGGGCUUUCAUGGUGUUCCUUGGACAUAUAAUAACAAGCAAGACGGCAACAAAAAUGUCAAGGUGAGACUGGAUCGUGCGGUGGCUUGCCCCCAAUGGUCUUCAUUAUUCCCAGAGUGCAAGAUUUCUCAUAUUAGUUCAAGGUCAGAUCAUUGUCCUCUGCUCAUUCAAUUGAUG